AAUAGAUACCCCGAUAGUCCACGCCCUAAACGAUGUCAACUAGCUGUUGGGGUCUUCGGACCUUGGUAGCGCAGCUAACGCGUGAAGUUGACCGCCUGGGGAGUACGGUCGCAAGAUUAAAAACUCAAAGGAAUUGACGGGGACCCGCACAAGCGGUGGAUGAUGUGGAUUAAUUCGAUGCAACGCGAAAAACCUUACCUACCCUUGACAUGUCUGGAAUCCCGAAGAGAUUUGGGAGUGCUCGCAAGAGAACCGGAACACAGGUGCUGCAUGGCUGUCGUCAGCUCGUGUCGUGAGAUGUUGGGUUAAGUCCCGCAACGAGCGCAACCCUUGUCAUUAGUUGCUACGAAAGGGCACUCUAAUGAGACUGCCGGUGACAAACCGGAGGAAGGUGGGGAUGACGUCAAGUCCUCAUGGCCCUUAUGGGUAGGGCUUCACACGUCAUACAAUGGUCGGGACAGAGGGUCGCCAACCCGCGAGGGGGAGCCAAUCCCAGAAACCCGAUCGUAGUCCGGAUCGCAGUCUGCAACUCGACUGCGU
rnacentral:rRNA from 1 species